rnacentral:rRNA from 1 species
UACGUAGGGGGCAAGCGUUGUCCGGAAUCAUUGGGCGUAAAGCGCGCGUAGGCGGCCCGGUAAGUCCGCUGUAAAAGUCCAGGGCUCAACCCUGGAAAGCCGGUGGAUACUGUCGGGCUAGAGUCCGGAAGAGGCGAGUGGAAUUCCUGGCGUAGCGGUGGAAUGCGCAGAUAUCAGGAGGAACACCGAUAGCGAAGGCAGCUCGCUGGGACGUUACUGACGCUGAGACGCGAAAGCGUGGGGAGCAAACAGG